GCUCUAUCUAUAUGUGGAGUUAUUGACGAGUCAGAGGCACCAACGCUCUCUCCUCACUCCUCUUCUUUCUGUCUUCCGACUCUCUUCCAUUCCCAUUCCGUUCCAUAAUCAAUCAAUCAAACAGAAGUAAAAGCAUUAAGCAUUUCGUCUGUACCCUCUUCCCAUUCCAGAAAACACAACCACCACCAAUUAAAGAGAUGGGUUUUGCGAGGAAAGAGUAUGAGUUUUUGAGUGAGAUCGGGCUGAGCUCUCGCAAUUUGGGUUGUUAUGUAGAUGGCACGUGGAAAGCAAAUGGCCCUGUGGUCACCAGUGUGAAUCCUGCAAACAAUCAGGCUAUAGCUGAAGUUGUGGAGGGUUCCAUUGAAGAUUAUGAGGAAGGCAUGCGAGCUUGCAGUGAAGCUGCUAAGAUAUGGAUGCAGGUUCCUGCUCCAAAGAGAGGUGAGAUUGUCAGACAGAUUGGGGAUGCAUUGAGAACUAAACUUCAGGAGCUUGGUCGCCUUGUUUCACUCGAGAUGGGAAAAAUACUCCCUGAAGGAAUAGGGGAAGUUCAAGAAAUCAUUGAUAUGUGUGAUUUUUCUGUGGGCUUAAGUAGACAACUGAAUGGAUCAGUGAUACCUUCUGAACGUCCAAAUCAUGCAAUGCUGGAGAUGUGGAAUCCUCUUGGAAUUGUCGGUGUGAUUACGGCUUUCAACUUCCCAUGUGCUGUUCUUGGAUGGAAUGCUUGCAUUGCACUAGUCUGUGGCAAUUGUGUUGUCUGGAAAGGUGCACCAACAACUCCUUUGAUUACCAUUGCAAUGACAAGGCUAGUCGCUGGGGUGUUAGAGAAGAAUAACUUGCCUCCUGCAAUUUUUACAUCUUUUUGUGGUGGUGCUGAUAUUGGUCAAGCAGUAGCAAAAGAUACACGAAUUCCUCUGGUUUCUUUCACUGGCAGUUCAAAGGUGGGUCUAAAGGUCCAACAGAUAGUUAAUCAGAGAUUUGGUAAAUGCUUGCUUGAGUUAAGUGGGAAUAAUGCUAUAAUAGUCAUGGAUGAUGCUAACAUACAGCUAGCUGUUCGUUCUGUUAUGUUUGCUGCUGUUGGGACAGCUGGUCAGCGUUGCACAACAUGCCGCAGGCUGCUUCUACAUGAGAGCAUAUAUCAGAGAGUACUUGAUCAACUACUUGAUGUGUACAAGCAAGUUAAAAUUGGGGAUCCAUUGGAAAAAGGCACCUUGCUCGGGCCACUGCAUACUUCUGAAUCAAGAAAGAACUUUGAAAAGGGAAUAGAGAUAAUUAAGUCCCAGGGAGGUAAGAUCAUAACGGGUGGUUCUUUGAUUGAAUCUGAGGGGAAUUUUGUGCAGCCCACAAUAGUUGAGAUUUCUCCAAAUGCAGAUGUUGUUAAAGAAGAGUUAUUUGCUCCUGUUCUUUACGUUAUGAAAUUUCAGACUUUACAAGAAGCAAUUGAAAUAAACAAUUCAGUUCCUCAAGGAUUAAGUAGUUCUAUUUUCACCCGCCAACCUGGAGUUAUCUUCAAGUGGAUUGGGCCUCAAGGAAGUGAUUGUGGUAUUGUGAAUGUAAAUAUACCAACAAAUGGUGCUGAAAUUGGUGGUGCUUUUGGUGGAGAAAAGGCUACAGGGGGUGGCCGUGAAGCAGGAAGUGAUUCUUGGAAGCAAUACAUGAGACGCUCAACCUGUACGAUCAAUUAUGGGAAUGAGUUACCACUGGCACAAGGAAUCAAUUUUGGGUAGACACGCAUCAAGGUCCAGCAUUUCCACUUGUCUAGUAAAGCAAGAUUUCCUGUAGAAUUCUAUGUUUUUACCCUGUUAGAGCCAUGUCAUAUUGUCAUUUAGGUUGCUUCUGUACUUCUUGUGCGUGGUCAAAGACCUUCCUGUUUACAAACAACCUUUCUCUGGAUUAAUGAUAUUUACGGACAACCCAAAAUAAAAAAAUUGGCUUUCAAAGAAUAAAGAAAAGUUAUGUUUCAUUAUAGCCAUUCCUUGGUUGUAAUUGUAUAAUACAAUUUAUACUCUCUGGACAGCUUGAAUUAAUGUUCUGUGCAGUUAAGGUCUGCAUUUCUAUAAUAAUUCUCAGUCUCCUUGUGCUUUACGAUUAAAA